rnacentral:rRNA from 1 species
AUUGAACGCUGGCGGAAUGCUUUACACAUGCAAGUCGAACGGUAGAGGGGGCAACCCCUCGAGAGUGGCGAACGGGUGAGUAAUAUAUCGGAACGUGCCCAGUCGUGGGGGAUAACGUAGCGAAAGUUACGCUAAUACCGCAUACGAUCUAAGGAUGAAAGCGGGGGAUCGCAAGACCUCGCGCGAUUGGAGCGGCCGAUAUCAGAUUAGGUAGUUGGUGGGGUAAAGGCUCACCAAGCCAACGAUCUGUAGCUGGUCUGAGAGGACGACCAGCCACACUGGACCUGGGACACGGUCCAGACUCCUACGGGAGGCAGCAGGGGGGAAUUUUGGACAAUGGACGCAAGUCUGAUCCAGCCAUUCCGCGUGCAGGAUGAAGGCCCUCGGGUUGUAAACUGCUUUUGUACGGAACGAAAAGGUCUCUCUUAAUACGGGGGACUCAUGACGGUACCGUAAGAAUAAGCACCGGCUAACUACGUGCCAGCCGCCGCAGUAA